GAUGAACGCUAGCUACAGACUUAACACAUGCAAGUCGAGGGGAAACGAUGAGAGAGCUUGCUCUCUUAGGCGUCGACCGGCGCACGGGUGAGUAACGCGUAUCCAACCUACCCAUUACAGGGGGAUAACCUUGCGAAAGUAAGACUAAUACCCCAUGGCAUUUUAUGGUGGCAUCAUUAUAGGAUUAAAGAUUUAUUGGUAAUGGAUGGGGAUGCGUCUGAUUAGCUUGUUGGCGGGGUAACGGCCCACCAAGGCAACGAUCAGUAGGGGUUCUGAGAGGAAGGUCCCCCACAUUGGAACUGGGACACGGUCCAAACUCCUACGGGAGGCAGCAGUGAGGAAUAUUGGUCAAUGGGCGAGAGCUUGAACCAGCCAAGUAGCGUGCAGGAUGACGGCCCUAUGGGUUGUAAACUGCUUUUAGAGGGGAAUAAAGUGAGCUACGUGUAGUUUAUUGCAUGUACCCUAUGAAUAAGGACCGGCUAAUUCCGUG
rnacentral:rRNA from 1 species